AUACGGAGGGUGCAAGCGUUAUUCGGAAUCACUGGGCGUAAAGGGUGCGUAGGCGGUUUGAUAAGUCUGAUGUGAAAUCCUAUGGCUCAACCAUAGAACUGCAUCGGAAACUGUCAGACUAGAAUACUGAAGGGGCAGAUGGAAUUAGUGGUGUAGGGGUAAAAUCCGUAGAUAUCACUAGGAAUACCGAAAGCGAAAGCGAUCUGCUGGGAAGUUAUUGACGCUGAGGCACGAAAGCGUGGGGAGCAAACGGGAUUAGAAACCCUAGUAGUCC
rnacentral:rRNA from 1 species